rnacentral:rRNA from 1 species
GACGUGGGGGGCAAGCGUUGUUCGGAAUUCCUGGGCGUAAAGGGUGCGUAGGCGGCUCUCUACGUCGGAUGUGAAAACUCUGGGCUCAACCCAGAGACUGCAUCCGAAACUGGAGAGCUAGGGUUCUGGAGGGGAAAGCGGAAUUCCUGGUGUAGCGGUGAAAUGCGUAGAUAUCAGGAGGAACACCGGUGGCGAAGGCGGCUUUCUGGACAGAUACCGACGCUGAGGCACGAAAGCUAGGGGAGCAAACAGG